GCUUGGUUGGCUCAGUUGGUGGAGCAUCUGACUCUUGAUUUCAGCUCAAGCCAUGAUCCCUUGGUUGUGGGGUCAAUUCCCACACUGGACU
rnacentral:tRNA from 1 species